rnacentral:rRNA from 1 species
UGAACGCUAGCGGCAGGCUUAAUACAUGCAAGUCGUGGGGCAGCAUGAGUAGCAAUACUUGAUGGCGACCGGCAAACGGGUGAGGAACACGUACACAACCUUCCUUCAAGCGGGGAAUAGCCCAGAGAAAUUUGGAUUAAUACCCCAUAAUAUAUUUGAUAAGGCAUCUUAUUAAUAUUAAAGCUUCGGCACUUGAUGAUGGGUGUGCGGCUGAUUAGAUAGUUGGCGGGGUAACGGCCCACCAAGUCUACGAUCAGUAGCUGAUGUGAGAGCAUGAUCAGCCACACGGGCACUGAGACACGGGCCCGACUCCUGCGGGAGGCAGCAGUAAGGAAUAUUGGACAAUGGACGAAAGUCUGAUCCAGCCAUGCCGCGUGAAGGAUUAAGGUCCUCUGGAUUGUAAACUUCUUUUAUAUGGGACGAAAAAAGGGCAUUCUUGUUCACUUGACGGUACCAUAUGAAUAAGCACCGGCUAACUCCGUG